GGCCCAGGAAGUAGUGAUAUAUAUGCUCAUACUUGGUCUGUUUUAGGUUCAGCCUAAAGUCCACAAGAAUAUAACAGAUGAGCCAAAACCUACCUGAAGAUCAAUUUUGAUCACUUGACAAAGAAUUUUGGAUGGAAUAUCAGAUGAGGGCAUCUGCUGUUCUAACACCUGAUGCACCCAAGCUCCAAGCUACAUGUAGAAGAGAUAUUGUAAAUUGUAAGACCAAAGACAUCAUACAAUGGCAGGCAAAAGAUAUCUCUAAUCAAACUCAUUGUAGAUCAAAGACGCCAGAGAAUGACAUACAAUCAUUUUGUUCUGCUGUAUAUGAUUCAAAUUUCUUGAAGCAAUGAGAUGCAGAGUGUAAAAGAGAAAAACUAUCAAUAGUAUCUUCCUGCCUACCAUAUCCAGAAACACAAAAUAAAACAUCAAGAAAAUCAAUAUUAGGAAAAUCAACUCACAGGAAGUUCACUAAAUCACUAACAGAUGAUGAAUUGAUAAGUCAACGAAUCAGUGGCCAUGCUCCUUAGUGUUGCUGGUGCUCGAAGUGGCAGUGCUCCUCCGGAAGAGCAACAAGGUUGGAAAAGAUCAUGCCGCCAUCAUGGUAGAGUGGAUCAAUGGAGCUGGUCUUGAUG
rnacentral:misc_RNA from 1 species